rnacentral:tRNA from 1 species
GGUCUCGCAGUGCAGCGGUUAGCACUCAGGACUCUGAAUCCCGCGAAAGGAGUUCAAAUCUCUCCGAGACCC